AUGCCACCGGCCGUGCGCCGCCCGCCCGCGCAACCGACCGCACGCCGCCCUCCUCAUCCACGCGCCCGCGUCCGGCCACCUUCGCGUGCGUCCGUGAGCGCCGUCCACCCGCUGGAGCCCACCUCCGCCCUCACCACCGGCCGACGCCGGUGCUGGCGCCACCAGAUCGAGCGCAUCCCGCAGUGGCGUACACAGAUAGAGGAGCGGCAGAUCGAGAAGCGCUUGUUCGUCUCCACCAGAUCGAAGUCGCGGUGGAUCCAGAAGAUAAUCAUCUAUAAUAUUGCUGUAUAUUGUGAUGUAGACAUGCAGUACUCCGUAUUGUAUAAUGUGUAUUGUGUACAAUCUAGUGUGGUAUAUCUUGUGGGUUUUUGUCCAUAUGGAAUGCAAAAAAAAUCGAUAAUGUGUAUUGUAUACGAAGAUUGGUAG
rnacentral:rRNA from 1 species